CUGAAUGCAAUCCUGACCGGAUGGCCACGGGGUGUCUGUCAUGCUCAAACUUUGGUAAAUAAAUCCACACCUGUAUAAGAAAGCCUAAACCAACACUAUGUGUGACAAUAACAUUCCCUAAGACACAUGCAAGACAUGAUUAAGGCUAUUUUGCAAGAUGGCUUAUGUGGCUAAAAGGUGGCUAGAAAUGCAAAAUUUGGCUAAGACCCCGCAAAGCCAAGAACAUAAGAUUUACUAGGAAAACCGGACCCUAUGUGGGUUGCCUACGUAUCAUGCCCCGAAAGACGAGAAUCAGGUAUGCGUAGUUCGGGCAGAUUGGAUACGGGCGAGAAAUAAAAAUAACAACUAAUUUAGAGAAAAAUAUAUUUUUUUUUCUUCUUUUCUUUCUCUUUUUUUUGAAAAAUGAUGAAACAUGUAAACUCUUUUUUUUAUUUUCUUUUUCCAUUUUUUUUUUAUUUUUGAUUUUUGAAAAAUGAUGAAAAUGUACAAAAAUCUUUUGAAUUUUUCAAGCUCUUUUUUUCUUAAUAAAACGUAAUAGAAAACAUAAUUAGGCCCCACUCGCUUUAUCUUCACACUUCACCCUCUCCUUUUCUUUUUUUUUUCUUUUUUUUUCUUUUUUCAUUGUUUUUUUCGUUUUUUCAUUUACCCUCAGCUAUCAUUGGUCCGCCAAGUGACCCUUUUACCCUUGAAUAAAUGCAACAUGUAGCACAUAAGAUGCAUCAGGAUGGUCUUUUAUUUUGGGUACAUCUGUCCUAGACGGACCCAACCCCUGUGUUGAGUCCCCAAAGUCAAAAUGCACAUGAUGCAAGCAAGCGCUCCUACUAGGGAUCCGGCAUGAGGCCAUGUUUUUCUAGGUUUAAAUCUUGGGGUUUUGUUCUAGACUUGGGUACCCGAGCGAACAACUGGGGCCAAAGAGGGGGCGAUGUACCGGGAGCACUGAAGUCUACCCGGCCUUGUCGCUUGCCCAGCCUCGUUCUAUUUGGUAUAAUUUCUAUAGAAAAGCGGGUCACGCGAACGUGUGCACCAUUUUCAGAAGACUCAGAGGGGCGGCGAAAGAAGACAGUUAUAUACAACUCAAACAAUAUUAAAGCGGUAAACAAAUAGCAUUUAGCACAAAAGGUUCACAGAAUACAGUAAUAUCAACAAUAAAUAAAGCCAAGUAAAAAUAAUGUUAACAAGCUCGAAUUCUUGAACCCUGAACCAGAGAUUCUGGGUUCUUGUCCCCAUUAGAGUCGCCAGAGCUGUCACACCUCCUUUGUUUACACACACCCCCGUAAAGGGUGUAUAAGUAUAAGGGAGUUUUUCCAAUUAAAGAACAAUCGAAACGGGAUUUAUUUAUUAAAAUUCAGAGUCGCCACUUGGGAGAUUUAUGGUGUCCCAAGUCACCGGUAAAAAUUCCGAAUCGAGGAAAGAUUGACUCUGUUUAACAGUCCGCGAACCAGAAAUCCAGGUAAGGAAUUCUGUUAAUCUGGGAGAAGGUGUUAGGCACUCCCGAGUUCCGUGGUUCUAGCACGGUCGCUUUGAUUAUACUUGACUUAACUAAAUUGUUUAAUUACUCAUUUUAGAACCUAUGGGCUUUUAACUUUUACCGCUUUUUAAUUAAAUUUUUUUUAUCUUGAAACGGGUCACGCGUACGUGUACCCAUUUGUUUGGCGCGUCGAAAAUCAUGUCACGCGAAUGUGUCCACAAUUAGUAACGCUAUAUUAUUAUUAAGAGAAUUUGGCUGAAGUUGUGCGAACACAUACUCCGGUUUUGUUUUUCGAAAUCGUAGACGUGUCACGCGAACGUGUCCAUAACCACGAUAGUAUAUUAACGUGCCUAAAGCAAACUACGAACAUUUGUCGUUUUAUAUCUAAGUUAUAAGAAAUUAAUACGAGGGCCAUGUAUGAUUAAAAGGUGGAUGGCACACCUCGGGCUAUAUGAACUAAUUUAAUUAAUGAGGACUAUAUUAAUAACAAAUUUAUUAUUUUGCGAAAAUUUGGUCGAAGUUGCGCGAAUGCAUACUCCGGGUUUGUCUUUAAAAAUCGUAACUAUGUCACACGAACGUGUACACAAUCACGACGAUAAAUGUAAAAUGCACAUAAAUCAUACUACAAUGUUCUGAAUAUUACUGGCCUACUAACGAUCAAAACAAAAUAAACAAGGCAACAAAAUGUAAUCUUAAUCAAUAAGAAUUACUACUGCUACUAGCGAGAUGACAUUGACCAUUCCCUCGAUUCAAAACAAUUCCCUGCUUUCCAAUCUAUUAAACCUAGUUCUUUCACGUUCAUCAAAAGGAGAGAAUUACCAAAGCUUUCACAUACACAAACAUAACAAAACUUGGGCAUCGACGAUGAAUAAAGUGAAAUUCAAUAUCUCUCCUUCUCAAAAUAAACAUAGCAAUCACCCAAAAAUACAUCUCUAACAUGAUGUGAGCAAUAGACACAAGAGAACAUCAAGUAACAUGACUAAAUACGUGAUAAGACAUGAAAUCAGGACAAACUUCGUACCAAAUAUGUAGGCAAUGAGGGACAAGGGAGGGAAAAGAAAUCCAGCUUCAUAUAAUGCUUUGGAAUUAACAAAUAUAAAUCAAAUAGUAGCUAAUCUUGAAUCAGGUAGAAGCUAUGCAUCAUAAACUAAAUCCAUACAAAUGAAAUAAAAUCACUUAAACAUUCAAAUCUUUAAAGGGAAGAGAUGGUUAGAAAUAGACCUGAAACCCAAGAAAAGUCUUUAACGAUUUGAUAAAGCAACUUUAUACACAGAGAAUUAUCUUCUAGCACCAAUGUCCAAUGAAACCUUAUCAACAAAAUCCGAAUUAGAGACCUCGCCGUGAACCUCAACGAGCUCAAAUUAAGAACUUCGCUGCCAAUAAAACGCCAAAUCAGAAUCGACGACUCAAACAAACUUUACUCGGAACUCAUUUGUGAUCUACGUUGUUGUUCUAUAUAUUGGGUAUUUGGAGGUGUGAUUAACAUUGGGAUUUGGGGCUAUUUUUGGAUAGUUUUUACCAUUGUUUUUGAGGUGAUUUUGGGGUUCUCCGGUGACUGAUUUUGGACUAUUUCACAUGGUUAACUAGCUGUAUUUUUAUGGCUUCUCAUGGUCUGUUGUUUGAAUGGAGAAGAAGUAGUUCAGGGGUGGGGGAUCUCUUGUUGGGUUAUGCGGCUGAUUGUCUGUGUGAUUUGAACAGAGGGUCGUUGUGGUGGAGCGAGGAAGACGAAAUACAGGGGGGGUGGGGGGUCGUGAAGAAGAUGACGCAGAGGGGUGAGGUCAUUUUCUUCUUGGCGUUAUCAACGCAGCUUUUAGCUGUUUCUGUUCGUUCUCGUUCCUGCCUUUUUCGUUAUUAUCGUGCGCAGCUUUGCUGCUUUCUCGUUUC
rnacentral:lncRNA from 1 species